rnacentral:rRNA from 1 species
UGGGGAAUCUUGCGCAAUGGGCGAAAGCCUGACGCAGCGACGCCGCGUGGGGGAUGAAUGCCUUCGGGUUGUAAACCCCUUUCGGCAGGGACGAAGCGAACGUGACGGUACCUGCAGAAGAAGUCCCGGCUAACUACGUGCCAGCAGCCGCGGUAAGACGUAGGGGACGAGCGUUGUCCGGAUUUAUUGGGCGUAAAGAGCGCGUAGGCGGCUUGGUAAGUCGGAUGUGAAAUCCCGGGGCUCAACCCCGUGACUGCACCCGAAACUGCCCGGCUAGAGGUAGGUAGGGGAGAUCGGAAUUCCUGGUGUAGCGGUGAAAUGCGCAGAUAUCAGGAGGAACACCGGUGGCGAAGGCGGAUCUCUGGGCCUUACCUGACGCUCAGGCGCGAAAGCUAGGGGAGCAAACAGGAUUAGAUACCCCCGUAGUCC